rnacentral:lncRNA from 1 species
AUGGGAAAUAUUAUGUUGACUUGUCCAGGUUUCUUGAAUGGGAAUACCUCUUUGUUUGGCUUUUCUUCAACUAGUCUAAAACGUUUCACUCCAUGUUGGUUCAAAACACUGUGGUGCAUUCUUAGCAGUGCACUGCUGCUCGCUACUGCUCCGAGAGCUGUCGUUUGGCCUGCCCGUUCUCUUCUGCCGGACGUCCUGAGGGCCUUGGACUUCUGACACUGCAUUAUAGAUCUCCCUGAGACCAAACUGUACCAUGGGACACCUCUGUGUGCGCUGUGGGAAUUGUCUUCCAGCCAGAAAGACUGACCCAGAAGUGAGAACAGGGUUAUCAGGCUGCCAAGCUGCAGUGUCUAUGAAGCAACACAACAUUGUGGGAAUAAAAGCAGUUCAAUAGUGUACUGACUCA